rnacentral:misc_RNA from 1 species
AAGUCGUAACAAGGUUUCCGUAGGUGAACCUGCGGAAGGAUCAUUAACACGUAUCCACGUACCUACUAGUAACUUCGGUCACAAGUAGAGCCUCCGCGACCGGAUCCCGAGAUCCACAAACGGUAGAGUGGGGAAACCCACUGUCUCGCCGGUAGAGGCUGUCGCCUUCGGGCGGCGUGUCGCGAGAUCGACAUUAAAACUCUCCGGAGAAGGGCAACUCUUCUCGCAGUUUCUGGCUACUGUUUUGUAGUUGUCUUUUACGAUUUGUAACUAUAACGUCUGAAACUAUGGCAUUCUGGAAACAGAAUUGCUAUUUCGCGUAAUUUUUACAACUCUUAGCAACGGAUAUCUUGGUUCUC